rnacentral:rRNA from 1 species
UCAGGCCUAACACAUGCAAGUCGAACGGCAGCACGGGUGCUUGCACCUGGUGGCGAGUGGCGAACGGGUGAGUAAUACAUCGGAACGUACCUUAUCGUGGGGGAUAACGCAGCGAAAGUUGCGCUAAUACCGCAUACGCCCUGAGGGGGAAAGCGGGGGACCGUAAGGCCUCGCGCGAUUAGAGCGGCCGAUGUCUGAUUAGCUUGUUGGUGAGGUAAAAGCUCACCAAGGCGAUGAUCAGUAGCUGGUCUGAGAGGACGAUCAGCCACACUGGGACUGAGACACGGCCCAGACUCCUACGGGAGGCAGCAGUGGGGAAUUUUGGACAAUGGGGGCAACCCUGAUCCAGCAAUGCCGCGUGAGUGAAGAAGGCCUUCGGGUUGUAAAGCUCUUUUGUCAGGGAAGAAACAGCAGCUCUAACACAGUUUGCGAAUGAC